UAGAGUUUGAUCAUGGCUCAGAUUGAACGCUGGCGGCAGGCCUAACACAUGCAAGUCGAACGAAGUCUUCGGACUUAGUGGCGGACGGGUGAGUAACGCGUGGGAACGUGCCCUUUGCUACGGAAUAGCCUCGGGAAACUGGGAGUAAUACCGUAUGUGCCCUUCGGGGGAAAGAUUUAUCGGCAAAGGAUCGGCCCGCGUUGGAUUAGGUAGUUGGUGGGGUAAUGGCCCACCAAGCCGACGAUCCAUAGCUGGUUUGAGAGGAUGAUCAGCCACACUGGGACUGAGACACGGCCCAGACUCCUACGGGAGGCAGCAGUGAGGAAUAUUGGUCAAUGGGCGCAAGCCUGAACCAGCCAUGCCGCGUGCAGGAAGACGGUCCUAUGGAUUGUAAACUGCUUUUAUCUAGGGAUAAACCUCUUUACGUGUAGAGAGCUGAAGGUACUAGAAGAAUAAGCACCGGCUAACUCCGUGCCAGCAGCCGCGGUAAU
rnacentral:rRNA from 1 species